GUGAGGAAUUUUGCGCAAUGGGGGCAACCCUGACGCAGCAACGCCGCGUGGGUGAAGAAGGUCUUCGGGUCGUAAAGCCCUGUCAGGUGGGAAGAAUGUCUUGGGGGUGAAUAAUCUUCAAGAGUGACGGUACCACCAGAGGAAGCACCGGCUAACUCCGUGCCAGCAGCCGCGGUAAUACGGAGGGUGCGAGCGUUGUUCGGAAUCAUUGGGCGUAAAGGGCGUGCAGGCGGCUGGGUAAGUCUGAUGUGAAAGCCCGGGGCUCAACCCCGGAAGUGCAUUGGAAACUGCUCAGCUUGAGUACCGGAGAGGAUGGGGGAAUUCCCGGUGUAGAGGUGAAAUUCGUAGAGAUCGGGAGGAAUACCAGUGGCGAAGGCGCCCAUCUGGACGGAUACUGACGCUGAGACGCGAAAGCGUGGGGAGCAAACAGGAUUAGAAACCCGAGUAGUCC
rnacentral:rRNA from 1 species